ensembl:lncRNA uncharacterized LOC112987746
CAAAAGCCUUGCAUUAUUUACUGCUCAUUGGUGCACAGGUGUGAGAGAGGUCAAGGCUGCUUAUAACCUUCUCUGAGAGAACAACAGAAGGCAAAUCUGUAGCUUAAUGGGCUAAAGAAGGAUAUUUCAAGUCCUUGCUGAAUAAAAAUUUCAGUCUGGAUGCAUUUCUGUGCAAACCAGUGCUGAUGUCAUUUCAUUAAAAUGUCCUGAGGUCCCACCACUUGAAGGUCUGCUAAUUGUGAAACUGUGAGAACUACAAAGAAAUGAGUUAAACAGAACAGAGUGUGAAGAGUUUUCACACCUCCAUGCUUAUAAAUAAGCUGAGCCACACAAAGGUCUGGGGAAGAGUUAGAAAUUUCCUUUCUGAGGUGAGGUUUUACUUCAGUAACAUCUGCUGGCUGCCAUACAGUAGCAGAUCAGGCCUGAGUCUGUCAGCCCUUGAAAUCAUCUCAUCCUGGAGGCACUAAAUGACCAGAGUGCUCCUGCGGAUCAACUCAGGRCAACGAGUGGUGCUGGCAAUGAGAGACCUGCUUCCUUGGGGACUCUGCUCCAGCUGGGGAGACAACAUGGGCCCUACCCAGGGCUGCUGGACCCUCUGCUCCAUCCUGCUACUUCGUCUCUCCCAGGCUGUUCUCAUCAAAAUCCCUCAGGAUUUGGUCAAUGGCACUGUUGGCCAGUCCGUGCUCCUGCCCGUCUCCUACAAACUCAGCAGCUYCUCUCACUUCCCACUGCCAUUUCACUGGACAUUCAGUAACCGCUCUGAGCGAAUUGUCACCUGCACGGUGCUGAACUGCUCCCUGAGUGCUGAGGGGACUCCCAAGCACUGCUCUGCAAAACAUUUCCCACACGCCGCAUACCAAGGUCGUGUUGUGCUUUUCCCUGAGAACGCAUCCCUGCUGCUCCGGGACCUGCAGCUCAGGGACAGCGGGGUCUACAGCGUCACCUUCAAACAGCAGAUCCAAACCAGGCGCAUCACCUUAACUGUGUACAGUGAGGCACGUGCUGACACUGAUGCCAGAGGAGGGAGAUCUGGACAGAAAAUCCUUGUUAUUAUUGCUGGAUGCUUCUGUCUGAUCUUGCUGCUUCUGCUGCUGUUCUGCUACGCAUGGCACAGGGGGGCAGUUCUUCAGCUAAUGAGAUGUAUGAAUCAACAGGUCCAAAGUCCUAGUGAGCCCUGGGGAAAAUGGUCGGACACAGAGCUGGAAAGGAUUUACGCAAAUGUCAUCUACUUGGGAAGAGGUAGCUAAAAAACAGUAUUUAGCAAAUGGUAGCCCAAAGGCAAUGUACAAGCGUGGCUAAUAAAGCCGUGGGAGUUGUUCCA